rnacentral:rRNA from 1 species
GACGAACGCUGGCGGCGUGCUUAACACAUGCAAGUCGAGCGGUAAGGACCCUUUCGGGGGUAACACGAGCGGCGAACGGGUGAGUAACACGUGGGUGACCUGCCCUCAGCUCUGGGAUAAGCCUGGGAAACCGGGUCUAAUACUGGAUAUGACUCCAUGACGCAUGUUGUGGGGUGGAAAGCCUUGUGCGGCUGAGGAUGGGCCCGCGGCCUAUCAGCUUGUUGGUGGGGUGANGGCCUACCAAGGCGACGACGGGUAGCCGGCCUGAGAGGGCGACCGGCCACACUGGGACUGGAGACACGGCCCAGACUCCUACGGGAGGCAGCAGUGGGGAAUCUUGCGCAAUGGGCGAAAGCCUGACGCAGCGACGCCGCGU